GCGCCCGUAGCUCAACCCGGAUAGAGCGUUGGCCUGCGGAGCCAAAGGUUACAGGUUCAAAUCCUGUCGGGCGCGCCA
rnacentral:tRNA from 1 species